rnacentral:rRNA from 1 species
AUUGAGCGCUGGCGGCAGGCUUAACACAUGCAAGUCGAGCGGGGGAAGGUAGCUUGCUACCGGACCUAGCGGCGGACGGGUGAGUAAUGCCUAGGAAUCUGCCUAUUAGUGGGGGACAACAUCUCGAAAGGGAUGCUAAUACCGCAUACGUCCUACGGGAGAAAGCAGGGGAUCUUCGGACCUUGCGCUAAUAGAUGAGCACAAGUCGGAUUAGCUAGUUGGUGGGGUAAAGGCCUACCAAGGCGACGAUCUGUAGCGGGUCUGAGAGGAUGAUCUGCCACACUGGGACUGAGACACGGCCCAGACUCCUACGGGAGGCAGCAGUGGGGAAUAUUGGACAAUGGGGGGAACCCUGAUCCAGCCAUGCCGCGUGUGUGAAGAAGGCCUUAUGGUUGUAAAGCACUUUAAGCGAGGAGGAGGCUACUCUAGUUAAUACCUAGGGAUAGUGGACGUUACUCGCAGAAUAAGCACCGGCUAACUCUGUGCCAGCAGCCGCAGUAA